AAAUAGAAGAUUUAUUUAACUUAAAGAGUUUUAAUUUUUAUUUGUAAGAAAUAUAUUAAAUUUUAUUAGUUUAAUCGAAUAAAUUAUAAUUUGUGUAUAAGGUUAUACAAAUUAAUUAUUAUAGUAAAUUAGUAUUGUGAAAGAAUUUUGGGCAUUUAGAUAAAGAAAGAUUGAGUUUCUGUACCUUGUGUAUCAGGGUUUAUUAAUUAAAAUUUUAGGAUUGUAGAAUUUCUCGAAUUUAAAAGAGCUAUUAAUAUAUUAAUUUAAUUGUUGAAGAAAUUUGGCUAAUAUGUUUAUAGAAGUGAAAUGUUAAUCGAUUUUAAUUAUAUCUAGUUUUUUAAGAAAUAAAUUUAAUUUUAUUUUUACUUUGUAUAAAUUCAAUUAUAUGAGUUUAUAUAUGUAAGAAUUUACAUUUUGGGGGUCGAGCUUCAAUAUGGAGUGUGUAUAAUUAAUCGUGGAUUAGAAUAUUUUUCUUAGGAUUGAAAGUUUCUAUUGAAUUAGUGUGUAAUAAUUAAAAAUAUAAUUUUAAAAAUUUAUAUAGGAAUUUACUUGUGUUUAUUAAAAUAUAAAUUUAAACUUUUUAAAUUUAGAAAUAAUGAUGGAAUUAGUAUAAAUCAAUGUGUCUUUAUAGAAAAAGAAGAGGUUUUCUAAAGGAAUUCGGCAAACAAUUUUUUCACCUGUUUAAUAAAAACAUGGCUUGUUGAUUUUAAUUUCAGGUCUGGCCUGCCCAAUGAUAAGUUAAAUGGCUGCGGUAUAUUGACCGUACAAAGGUAGCAUAAUCAUUAGUUUUUUAAUUGAAAGCUUGUACGAAGGGUUUAAUGAAAAAAAUUCUGUCUCUAGAGAAUUUUACUAGAAUUUUAUUUUUAAGUUAAAAGGCUUAAAUAUAAAUAGAAGACGAGAAGACCCUAUAGAGUUUUACAUAAUUAGUAGUUUUAAAGGUCUAAGCUUAAAAUUUAUUAAUCUAUUAUUGUGUUUUAUUGGGGUGAUGGGAAAAUUGAAUAAACUUUUCUUUAAUAUAAAGACACAUUGAUUUAUGAGAAUGAGAUCCUAAAUUUAAGAUUUAAAGAUUAAAUUACCUUAGGGAUAACAGCGUAAUUUUUUUUAGAGUUCUUAUCGAAAGAAAAGAUUGCGACCUCGAUGUUGGAUUAAAAUUGAUUGCUGGUGUAGUUGCUAGAAAAUUAGGUCUGUUCGACCUUUAAAAUUUUACAUGAUCUGAGUUUAAACCGGUGUGAGCCAGGUUGGUUUCUAUCUCUAUUUAGGUAAAAUAUUUUAGUACGAAAGGACCAAGUAUUUAAUAUAUUAUUUUUGUUUUAGAAGGACAGUAAAU
rnacentral:rRNA from 1 species